GGGUUUCAGGGUUAGAUCUUGAAACUUUUUUAAGAUCAGGCAGCGGAAGACUAAAAUAAAUCAAAAUUUAUCUUAUAAAAUUAGAGAAUCCCUAGAUCUAAGAUCUUAUUACAUGAUUAUUAUAUGGUAUUAAAUCAAAAAUUAAAAUAUAAAGAGCAAGAACUACAUGUUGAUCAUAUCAACAUGUUUCUAUACUACAUCUAAUGUAU
rnacentral:lncRNA from 1 species